UGGGGAAUAUUGGACAAUGGGCGCAAGCCUGAUCCAGCCAUACCGCGUGGGUGAAGAAGGCCUUCGGGUUGUAAAGCCCUUUUGUUGGGAAAGAAAUCCAGCCGGCUAAUACCUGGUUGGGAUGACGGUACCCAAAGAAUAAGCACCGGCUAACUUCGUGCCAGCAGCCGCGGUAAUACGAAGGGUGCAAGCGUUACUCGGAAUUACUGGGCGUAAAGCGUGCGUAGGUGGUCGUUUAAGUCCGUUGUGAAAGCCCUGGGCUCAACCUGGGAACUGCAGUGGAUACUGGACGACUAGAGUGUGGUAGAGGGUAGCGGAAUUCCUGGUGUAGCAGUGAAAUGCGUAGAGAUCAGGAGGAACAUCCAUGGGGAAGGCAGCUACCUGGACCAACACUGACACUGAGGCACGAAAGCGUGGGGAGCAAACA
rnacentral:rRNA from 1 species